GGCAGGGUGGUGUAGUGGUUUAAGCAUUGGGUUAGGACACAGGGUGACCAGGGUUCGAAUCCCGGCUCAGCCA